rnacentral:rRNA from 1 species
UACGGGGGGGGUAAGCGUUGUUCGGAAUUACUGGGCGUAAAGGGCUCGUAGGCGGCCAACUAAGUCAUACGUGAAAUCCCUCAGCUUAACUGGGGAACUGCGUGUGAUACUGGAUGGCUUGGAUGUGGGAGAGGGAUGCGGAAUUCCAGGUGUAGCGGUGAAAUGCGUAGAUAUCGGGAGGAACACCAGUGGCGAAGGCGACUAUCUGGGCUUUAACUGACGCUGAGGCGCGAAGGCCGGGGGAGCAAACAGG